rnacentral:rRNA from 1 species
GACGAACCGUGCGAACGUUGUUCGGAAUCACUGGGCUUAAAGGGCGCGUAGGCGGACGACCAAGUCAGGGGUGAAAUCUUUCGGCUCAACCGGAAAAUAGCCUUCGAUACUGGCCGUCUAGAGGGAGGUAGGGGCGUGUGGAACUUCCGGUGGAGCGGUGAAAUGCGUUGAUAUCGGAAGGAACUCCGGUGGCGAAAGCGACACGCUGGAUCUCAUCUGACGCUGAGGCGCGAAAGCCAGGG